AUGCUCACUUCUGCAGCACAUAUACUAAAACUGGAACAAUAUAGAGAAAAUUAGCAUUGCCCCUGCACGAGGAUGACAGGCAAAUUUGUGAAGUGUUCCAUAUUUUG